rnacentral:snoRNA from 1 species
UUCAAUGAUGAAACUAUUCUCUGCCAGUUCUGCUUCUGAUUGUCAGUGACGAC